CCUAAUGCCUAAAUAGUGACCUACACCUAAAAAUCUUACCAAUCCGCCGUUUUUCUGCAGAUGGAGACUAACUUAUACAAGAAAUCGAAAAUCUGAAGAAGAAAGGGCGGCUGAACAAAAAACGAACCCCCUGACUUCAUCUUCCCCAGCCAUCACUCCAAGCUAUCAGCCGCAACCCCCACUUGAACCUAGCGGCAACCCAGCUGACCACACAAAGAAUGAGAAACGGCCUUUCCCCUUGAUUCUUGGAUCCAUCUUCUUUCUCAACUCACACAUAUAAACACAUACACAUUUAGAUAUCAUGGAAGCAUUAUGCAUUUUCUUUAAUUCAAAGAUCUAGAAAGUCAAGAACUCAAAAAAUAGAAAAUAAAAACACAAAAGGAAGGAUCUUAAAGCUGGUUCAACUUCUACUUGUUUACACUAAUUUUCCGGAACUACAAAGACUAAUCGACCCGGAAAACAGAGAGAAAAACGCCCAAGCCUAGUCGAGUACGUCCGAGGUUGUUCGAAUUCCGGCGAGCUUCGAAGUGGAGGUUCCGGAAUCAUGGUCUUGGUCAGCUUUUGGUUUUGAACAAACCGAUUCAGAUCCUUCUUGUUAAAGGUAGUCAAGGGUGGUCGGUUUGUUGAUUUGCAAUGGCAAAAACAAUCCAAGAUCUCUCGGAAAUAAAUGCAUCUUUUCAACUAAUGGAACAAGCAUCAUUGUUGUUGAUCCAAGGUCACAAAAAGACAAGCAGACAAGUUGGCGGUGAAAAAUCAAAAAUGGAGGCAAAUGUGGGGUUGAAUUUACCAGUUUUGAACAAUAGGACAUGGACUGCUCGGCAUGAUUGUCAAAAUUUGAGUGUUGAAUCCAAAUCAAUUAAAAUGGUCAAAUGUUGUGGUAAUGUUGAUGUAAGAAUGUGUGGCUAAGAUGUCGCUUAGUAACUCGAAAGUCACUCCUCUUUUAGCUAUGGUAGCUUAUUUUAUUAUUUUUUCUUCUUCUUUUGUGUUAUCGGACCCUGCUAUCCUUUAUUCAAUAAAAAAAGCAUGUCAGUCAUUUUGUGUC